rnacentral:ncRNA from 10 species
UGCGUUGAACCUUUUGUAGGUCGCAAGUAACUCUGAAAGAGUGAAGCAACGGGAA